GCUGCAGGGAGUUGCACAAUGUGAGUACCUCAAGCUCCGGUACUUCUGCCCUCUUGAUGCAGGAGACAGGGGCCCACAAGAGAGGCACCGCUACACUGCCUACCGGC